rnacentral:rRNA from 1 species
AGUGAACGCUGGCGGUAGGCCUAACACAUGCAAGUCGAACGGCAGCACAGUAAGAGCUUGCUCUUACGGGUGGCGAGUGGUGGACGGGUGAGGAAUACAUCGGAAUCUACUUUUUCGUGGGGGAUAACGUAGGGAAACUUACGCUAAUACCGCAUACGACCUACGGGUGAAAGCAGGGGAUCUUCUGACCUUGCGCGAUUGAAUGAGCUGAUGUCGGAUUAGCUAGUUGGCGGGGUAAAGGCCCACCAAGGGGACGAUACGUAGCUGGUCUGAGAGGAUGAUCAGCCAGACUGGGACUGAGACCCGGUCCAGGCUCCUACGGGAAGCAGCAGUGGGGAAUAUUGGGCAAUGGGCGGAAGCCUGAUCCAGCCAUACCGCGUGGUUGAAGAAGGCCUUCGGGUUGUAAAGCCCUUUUGUUGGGAAAGAAAAGCAGCAGCUGAAUACCCCACUGUUCUGACGGUACCCAAAGAAUAAGUACCGGCUAACUUCGUG